AUUGAACGCUGGCGGCAGGCCUAACACAUGCAAGUCGAGCGAGCGGCGGACGGGUGAGUAAUGUCUGGGAAACUGCCUGAUGGAGGGGGAUAACUACUGGAAACGGUAGCUAAUACCGCAUACCAUCAGAUGGUCCCAGAUGUGAUUAGCUAGUAGGUGGGGUAAGGGCUCACCUAGGCGACGAGCCCUAGCUGGUCUUAGAGGAUGACCAGCCACACUGGAAAGUGGACACGGUCCAGACUCCUACGUGAGGAAGCAGUGGGGAAUAUUGCAAAAUGGGCGCAAGCCUGAUGCAGCCAUGCCGCGUGUGUGAAGAAGGCCUUCGGGUUGUAAAGCACUUGCAGCGAGGAGGCGUUACUCGCAGAAGAAGCACCGGCUAACUCCGUGCCAGCAGCCGCGGUAAUUC
rnacentral:rRNA from 1 species